rnacentral:rRNA from 1 species
UACAGAGGUCUCGAGCGUUGUUCGGAUUCAUUGGGCGUAAAGGGCGCGUAGGCGGCUUGGUAAGUCUGGUGUGAAAUCUCGGAGCUCAACUCCGAAAUUGCACUGGAUACUGCUCUGCUAGAGGGCUGGAGAGGAGAUCGGAAUUCACGGUGUAGCAGUGAAAUGCGUAGAUAUCGUGAGGAAGACCAGUGGCGAAGGCGGAUCUCUGGACAGCUGCUGACGCUGAGGCGCGAAGGCUAGGGGAGCAAACGGG